rnacentral:rRNA from 1 species
GAUGAACGCUGGCGGCGUGCCUAAUACAUGCAAGUCGAGCGAACAGACGAGGAGCUUGCUCCUCUGACGUUAGCGGCGGACGGGUGAGUAACACGUGGAUAACCUACCUAUAAGACUGGGAUAACUUCGGGAAACCGGAGCUAAUACCGGAUAAUAUAUUGAACCGCAUGGUUCAAUAGUGAAAGACGGUUUUGCUGUCACUUAUAGAUGGAUCCGCGCCGCAUUAGCUAGUUGGUAAGGUAACGGCUUACCAAGGCGACGAUGCGUAGCCGACCUGAGAGGGGGAUCGGCCACCCGGGAACUGGGCCCCGGCCCAGACUCCCACGGGGGGCAGCAGUAGGGAAUCCUCCGCAAUGGGCGAAAGCCUGACGGAGCAACGCCGGGUGGGUGAUGAAGGUCUUCGGAUCUUAAAACUCUUUUAUUAGGGAAGAACAAAUGUGUAAGUAACUAUGCACGUCUUGACGGUACCUAAUCAGAAAGCCACGGCUAACUACGU